rnacentral:rRNA from 1 species
CCUGCCCUUAAGACCGGGAUAACUGGAAGAAACGUGUGCUAAUACCGGAUAGGCAUUUCCUCGCAUGAGGACCUUCGGAAAGGCGGCCCAAUCUGCCACUUAUGGAUGGACCUACGGCGCAUUAGCUAGUUGGUGGGGACGGCUCACCCCUGCGACGAUAGCAUGCCUGAGAAUCGGCCACACUGGGACGACUACGGCCCAAAUCCUACGGGAGAAUAUUGUAGGGAAUCUUCCGCAAUGGACGCACCUCUGACGGAGCAACACCGCGUGAGUGAUGAGUUUUCGGAUCGUAAAUGUUGCCAGGGAAGAACCUACCUUGAGUAACUGUUCCACCCGUGACGGUACCUGAGAAAAAAGCCCCGGCUAACUACGUGCCAAUAGCCGCGGUAAUACCUACAAGCGUUGUCCGGAAUUAUUGGGCGUAAAGCGCGCGCAGGCGGUAUGUGUAAAUCCUGGUUUCACCCCGGGGCUCACCUCCGGGUCUGCAUCGGAUAACUGUCUGACUUGAGUGCGUAAAAUUCAAAGUGGUAAUCGUGUGCGCGGUGAAUCUGCGAAGAGAUGUGGAGAACACCCGUGCCCAAGGACGACUUUCUGACGCUGUAACUCACUGCAGUGCCGAACAACGUGGGAUAACAACACUAUUAGAUACCCCCGGUAGACGACGCCGUAUACGAUGUGCGUUCGUGAAGGUGUCUUCCUACACCUUAGCUGCCGAAGAUCAACACACUAG